rnacentral:rRNA from 1 species
GGGAGCCUGAGAAACGGCUACCACAUCCAAGGAUGGCAGCAGGCGCGCAAAUUACCCAAUCCCGACACGGGGAGGUAGUGACAAUAAAUAACAAUACGGGGUUCUUUAGGAUCUCGUAAUUGGAAUGAGUACAAUUUAAAUCUCUUGACGAGGAACAAUUGGAGGGCAAGUCUGGUGCCAGCAGCCGCGGUAAUUCCAGCUCCAAUAGCGUAUAUUAAAGUUGUUGCAGUUAAAAAGCUCGUAGUUGAAUUUCGGGGUUAGUAGGUUGGUCAUGCCUCUGGUAUGUACUGGUCUCACUGAUUCCUCCUUCCUUAUGAACCGUAAUGUCAUUAAUUUGGUGUUGCGGGGAAUUUGGACUGUUACUUUGAAAAAAUUAGAGUGUUUAAAGCAAGCUAACGCUUGAAUACAUUAGCAUGGAAUAAUGAAAUAGGACGUUCGAUCUUAUUUUGUUGGUUUCUAGGAUUGACGUAAUGAUUAAUAGGGAUAGUUGGGGGCAUUAGUAUUCAAUUGUCAGAGGUGAAAUUCUUGGAUUUAUUGAAGACUAACUACUGCGAAAGCAUUUGCCAAGGAUGUUUUCAUUAAUCAAGAACGAAAGUUAGGGGAUCGAAGACGAUCAGAUACCGUCGUAGUCUUAACCAUAAACUAUGCCGACUAGGGAUCGGAUGAUGUUAAUUUUUUAAUGACUCAUUCGGCGCCUUACGGGAA